rnacentral:tRNA from 1 species
GGGGAUAUAGCUCAGUGGCACAGCACCUGCCUGGCAAGCAUGAGGUCAUGAGUUCAAUUCCCGGUACCA